rnacentral:snRNA from 1 species
AUUGCUUCUCGGCCUUUUGGCUAAGAUCAAGUGUAUUAGGGGAGUACACACAUAUUGGUUACAUAUUUUGCCUUUGAAAUAAAUUUAAAGUCAAACUUAUAAGUGUGCCCUUCACUAGUGAGCGUUCACUGUAC